rnacentral:rRNA from 1 species
AAAUUGAAGAGUUUGAUCAUGGCUCAGAUUGAACGCUGGCGGCAGGCCUAACACAUGCAAGUCGAGCGGAAACGAGUUAUCUGAACCUUCGGGUAACGAUAACGGCGUCGAGCGGCGGACGGGUGAGUAAUGCCUAGGAAAUUGCCCUGAUGUGGGGGAUAACCAUUGGAAACGAUGGCUAAUACCGCAUGAUGCCUACGGGCCAAAGAGGGGGACCUUCGGGCCUCUCGCGUCAGGAUAUGCCUAGGUGGGAUUAGCUAGUUGGUGAGGUAAGGGCUCACCAAGGCGACGAUCCCUAGCUGGUCUGAGAGGAUGAUCAGCCACACUGGAACUGAGACACGGUCC